UCUUUCUAAGAGAAAAUGAGUGUGUCUCCUGUAGUAAGCACCACAGUGCUGUUGCCCCUGGUCAUCUUCUUUGGUCUUUGCCUUUUAUCUCUCCUCUUCAUUGGUUUAAUGUAUCGUUACCAACGGUGGAAGUCCAAGCUCUACUCCAUUGUUUGUGGGAAAUCGACACCUGAAAAAGAGGGGGAGCUUGAAGGAACUACUACUAAGCCCCUGGCCCCAACCCCAAGCUUCAGUCCCACUCCAGGCUUCACCCCCACCCUGGGCUUCAGUCCCAUGCCCAGUUCCACCUUCACCUCCAGCUCCACCUAUACCCCCGGUGACUGUCCCAACUUCGCGGCUCCCCGCAGAGAGGUGGCACCACCCUACCAGGGGGCUGACCCCAUCCUUGUGACAGCCCUCGCCUCCGACCCCAUCCCCACCCCCUUUCAGAAGUGGGAGGACAGCGCCCACAAGCCACAGAGCCUAGACACGGAUGACCCCGCGACGCUGUACGCCGUGGUGGAGAACGUGCCCCCGUUGCGCUGGAAGGAAUUCGUGCGGCGCCUAGGGCUGAGCGACCACGAGAUCGAUCGGCUGGAGCUGCAGAACGGGCGCUGCCUGCGGGAGGCGCAAUACAGCAUGCUGGCG
rnacentral:sRNA from 1 species